rnacentral:misc_RNA from 1 species
GUGAAUCAUCGAAUCUUUGAACGCAAAUUGCACUCUCUUGUAUUCCGGAGAGUAUGCCUGGGUGAGGGUCAGUUUAAAUAAAAGUCUGUGUGGUUGCUGCCUUUCGUGGUGAUGCGUCGUCUUUGAGUCGUCUUGUCUUCGGUUAUGUUUCAUAAAAUUUUGCAUGAUUUUUUUGAUCGUUUUUAAAUGAUUUUACGUAUUUUUUUGUUAUCGUAUCUUAG